rnacentral:lncRNA from 1 species
CAGAAAUGGUCCCCAAUCCGCCAGGGAGUUAUACAUACAAAAGAACAAAGAAUGGGAAAAAUACAAGAGGAAGACAUUUUGGAGGGUAAUUUUCAAAACUCUGACACCAGCUCUGGACAAAGCUUGCAGUCAUCAGAAUUGGAAGACAGCCAUUUCAGAAGGAGUCAAGUCUCUGUUACACCAAACCCAUAUUAAACUGACAGAUUCCGGGUUCAUACAUUAAAACAUUAUUUGCUUAGAAGAGAAAUGAAGAUUAAAAUGGACCAUUACAAAUAAUAGAGCCACU